CUUCCUCCUCAAAAUGAAGUUGCCUGGUAGGCUGUUGGUGCUGUUGUUCUGGAUUCCUGCUUCCAGCAGCGAUGUUCUGUUGACCCAAACUCCACUUUUCCUGCCUGUCAGCCUUGGAGAUCAAGCCUCUAUCUCUUGCACAUCUAGUCAGAGCCUUGUACACAGUAAUGGAAAUACCUAUUUGGGAUGGCACCUGCAGAAGCCAGGCCAGUCUCUACAACUCCUGAUCUAUGAGGUUUCCAAACGACAUUCUGGGGUUCCAGACAGGUUCAGUGGCAGUGGGUCAGGGACAGAUUUCACACUCAAGAUCAGCAGAGUGGAGACUGAGGAUUUGGGAGUUUAUUACUGCUUCCAAGGUACACAUUUCCCUCCCACAGUGAUGCAGACCUUAACAAAAAAUAUCCUUGCUUGGGGUCCCAGCUGUCAAAUAAGUUACUUAUCUGUGUGA